UUUACCCAUGACGUCCUACAGAUACCAGAUGAUAUGUACAGUGGCUUUACACAGCAUAUUACAAGAGACUGGUGACAUUCUAUGUCAUUUACCCAUGACGUCCUACAGAUAUCUACCAGAUGAUAUGUACUGUGGCUUAACACAAAGUAUUACAAGAGACUGGUGACAUUCUAUGUCAUUUACCCAUGACGUCUUGCAGAUAUCUACCAGAUGAUAUAUACUGUGGCUUUACACAGAGUAUUACAAGAGACUGUGGUGACAUUCUAUGUCAUUUACCCAUGACGUCCUACAGAUAUCUACCAGAUGAUAUGUACUGUGGCUUUACACAGAGUAUUGCAAGAGACUGUGGUGACAUUCUAUGUCAUUUACCUAUGACGUCCUGCAGAUAUCUACCAGAUGAUAUGUAAUGUGGCUUUACCCAGAGUAUUACAAGAGACUGUGGUGACAUUCUAUGUCAUUUACCCAUGACGUGUUACAUGAUAUACAGUACCUGAUGUGUGGACAUGCUGGGGAGCAUUAGCUUGUCUUGCAAACCAGCCACAUAACAAGAUAAAAAGGGCACUACUGACAGACAGUAAAACAGCUUGACUAGGAAACCAUUUAAAUUUGACGUGAGAUUAACACACCCAAGAAAUGGCCAGUGCAAACUGACAGGAAGGUCAAACAGAAUCACUCUGAUGCACAUCACAAGGAUAAGGUGAACAGGAGAGUUAAUAAAUAACAUAGCAAAAGCAAUAACAAAAAACAAAACAAAAAA